UACGAAGGGUGCAAACGUUGCUCGGAAUCAUUGGGCGUAAAGCGCACGUAGGCGGCUUAGCAAGUCGGAUGUGAAAUCCCUCGGCUCAACCAAGGAAGUGCAUCCGAAACUGCUGAGCUUGAGUACUUAAGAGGAUCGCGGAAUUCCCGGUGUAGAGGUGAAAUUCGUAGAUAUCGGGAGGAACACCAGUGGCGAAGGCGGCGAUCUGGGAAGAUACUGACGCUGAGGUGCGAAAGCGUGGGGAGCAAACAGG
rnacentral:rRNA from 1 species